GGUUGGCGCGGGUCGGAGUCCCAAAGCCUCGUCCUUACCUCUGCCUCAUGCUGCGGUGUCCCUAGGCGCCGGCGUCCCAGUAGCCGGCCAGUGCCGCCCUGUCCCGCAGCCCCGGCGUCCGGCGCGGUAAGCAGCAGCAGCAGCAGGAGCAUCGGCGCAGCCGGGGGCGAGGCAGGCACAUGAAAGGGCGGGGGUUGCGGCCCUCGGGCGGACCACAGGACCCUAGCCUCGGAGGCGAGAGAUCUCAGUGCACUGGCUCCCAUCCUCAGGGAUCCCACUGCUACCUGCACGCUCAGCCUUGCCAGAAUCUCAUGGGAUACGUGCAAAAGCCAAAGAAAUAAGCGGUCGCCACGCCUUUCGUCCUCUCCGUCUGCCCGCAGAGUCCAUAUGUCUCGAAACAGUCAUGUGAGGAGAGUUGGUAGAAGUCUAUUCACAGAUGAGGAAGGAAACUACAGCUCAGAGAGCAUGACCGUUUGGCUAAGGUAGCAAGGCUGAUUUAGGUUGCCACCGGUCAGUUCUGGGCCCCAGAGCUUCUUCAGUACCUGCUGUCUAUAGUAAGCGUCUCAAACUUUAACAUGCAUAUGGAUCACCUGGGAAUCUUGUCAAAUGCAACUUCCAGAUGCAGAUUCUCACAAAGGUGUGUAAUUCCUGAUUCUCACCAAGGUGUGUAACGUCAUCCAUGGCCCAGUGCAGAGGAACACAGGUGUUGCCAUCAGACUGCCAGGGUCCGAUCCCGCCUCCUCACUCACCCUGGGAGAUCCUUUUAAGCCAGGAGUCAACAGCGAGGAUGGAAACAUUACUGCUUUUUAAAGUCCUAAAAGUUCAGAGGACGACCAUCAAUUUCUCCUGCACCCCUGGGCACACACCAAGAGAACUUUGUCUCCAGGUUCAAGUAAGUGCCUGUGAGGGAGUUGUGUCCUCAGAUUCUGUUCGCCACAGGUGCCGCUGGAUGCAACCCCAAACCUCUUCUGCACAAUCCCAAGCAGUGCUGACUAGUCCAACCCAAAGGCUGUGAUGUUUGGCAGAGGCAGAAGAGAAAAGGCCAGGUGUUUUGGGAAAGAUCACCUUUAAAUCACACAGCACCCUCCCAGCCCACAGAGACAGUUCUUACAUUAUGGCAAGAAACUUGGAAAAGACCAAAUCCAAUUUGACACAUAUUUCCUUUUUCUUUUUUAUUUCAUGCCCCCUCCCUCAACCUCCCAAGCAGAUGGAUACACUGAAGGCCCCUGGGAACUCUCUCCCAUUGGAUCUUACAUGGAAAGUAGUUACCUACCUACAAAUCCUCAUCAUUGGAUAUGCUCUCCAAAAACAGAUCUUUAAAACACAAACAUCAGGAUAAGUCAUUAGAGAGAGGCCCACCCACUCCUCUGACCCCAGCUGAAGCUCUGGUGCUUCACACAGGAUCCCCUGGUGUUUCCUCUGGGCUCACAGAUAUCCCUCCAGCCUCUCUGAACAUUGUUUUAUACUUGCAAAAUCAUUUGCUCUCAUCAGAGCAAUGAUUUGGGAAUCCUCCUUCCCAAAAGGAGUCCAGAAUCAGGUUUCUGUACCCUAGAGACAGGAUUUUUCCCUCAGGAAAUGAGUUAUUUCAGGGUACGUACCAUUCUCCAGUACAAAUGGAUCCUGCAAUUAUAGAAAAGAAAACAUUAGGAGGGUGAAAUGAUGCCAUGCAUGUCACACAGAUCUGAUAUUCUCUCAACAACUGGAGAAAAUAAGAAGGGGUAUAGUGACUGAGUCAGAGGUCGGAGUCCCCCAAAACUAACAUGGAGGACACCUAUGGAAAAGAAAAGAGCUUUUCCCACAGAAUUUACCUUUAAAGUAUAUUUAGAUUGGCAGUUUCACAACCUUAAUCCACGGGGGAAAACUGCUGUGGAGGGAAACACCUCUGCAUUGCAGUGGAUCGUGGACGCUGCCAUCUACCACGCCCCAGUGUGCCCGGCAUGGGUUGGUGAGAGGCUGCCAAUCAAUAGCACCACACCAAGGGAAUUGCAGAUGUCAUAAAUAAUGCACAUUGACAGAUGUUCAUGUCUACCUUUGAUUAAAUUGCAGAUGACAUCGAUAAUGCACAUUGGCAGAUGUUCAUGUCUACAUCUGACUCAAAAGAAGCCAGGAAAGUAACAUUUCUGUUCAAGACAAAGAAAAGUAUCUUACAGUGGCAGCAUCUUCUUUUUUAGAGAUGUCUUGUAGAGCAUCCUCUUUAGCGAUGUCGUAUACAGCAUCCUCAUUAGCGAUGUCGUAUACAGCGUUCUCAUUAGAGAUGUCUUCUACAGCAUCCUCAUUAGCAAUGUCUUCUACAGCAUCCUCAUUAGAGAUGUCUUAUACAGUGUCCUCAUUAGCGAUGUCGUAUACAGCAUCCUCAUUAGCAAUGUCUUCUACAGCAUCCUCAUUAGCGAUGUCGUAUACAGCAUCCUCGUUAGCGAUGUCAUAUACAGCAUUCUCAUUAGCGAUGUCGUAUACAGCGUUCUCAUUAGAGAUGACUUCUACAGCAUCCUCAUUAGAGAUGUCUUAUACAGUGUCCUCAUUAGCAAUGUCGUAUACAGCGUCCUCAUUAGCAAUAUCUUCUACAGCAUCCUCAUUAGCGAUGUCAUAUACAGCAUCCUCGUUAGCGAUGUCAUAUACAGCAUCCUCGUUAGCGAUGUCAUAUUACAGCAUCCUCGUUAGCGAUGUCAUAUACAGCGUUCUCAUUAGCGAUGUCGUAUACAGUGUCCUCAUUAGCGAUCUCGUAUACAGUGUCCUCAUUA